CGCCGGCGUGCGGAGGUGACUGCGCUUGCGCGGCGCGGGAAUGAGAAGCUCGCGGGCUGUGUGACGCGGUAGAAGUGAAGAUGCCACCCCGUCCUGCCCUCGGUCCGCUGGACACAGUGGGGUAUUGCUCCAGGAUCUUGCUUCAGACGCGUAAGCUCCCCCAUCCAUUAAACCAUCGAUGUCUCUGUUGCUGACUCCGGGCUCUUCCGUCUUGAAGCUGGGCAAGCACAGGGCUUGUAGGCCUGCGGGGUGCAGCCCAACAGCUUCACAUGUAUUGACUCAUUUGAUGCUUCCAACAACUUCGUGAAGGAGGAAGCCAAGGCCUGCACCUGCCCAGGGGAGGACAAGGCGUGCAGGACUCAGGUCGGACGUUUGAGGAAGGAGAGGAGGAGCCCGGGACCGAUGGAGCCCCAAGAGCACGGGGCAGCUGAAGGGUGUGAAGAUAAAGAAUUGAAGCAGGUUUAACGUUUUCCAGAUUAAAAGUUGAAGGAAACCGAUUUGGGUGCCAGAGUAACAGAAAGACUACAGAUCAGUGUGAUCACUGGCUCCCUCUCUUUGCACAACGAAAAGGAAGACACUG